UCUACAGUGCAUGUGUCUCCAGCGUCUGUAAGCAGCUGGAGAUACGGCCCUGUUGGAAU
rnacentral:pre_miRNA from 1 species